rnacentral:rRNA from 1 species
CACUCCUGCGGGAGGCAGCAGUGGGGAAUUUUGGACAAUGGGCGAAAGCCUGAUCCAGCAAUGCCGCGUGAGUGAAGAAGGCCUUCGGGUUGUAAAGCUCUUUUGUCAGGGAAGAAACGGUGAGAGCUAAUAUCUCUUGCUAAUGACGGUACCUGAAGAAUAAGCACCGGCUAACUACGUGCCAGCAGCCGCGGUAAUACGUAGGGUGCAAGCGUUAAUCGGAAUUACUGGGCGUAAAGCGUGCGCAGGCGGUUUUGUAAGUCUGAUGUGAAAUCCCCGGGCUCAACCUGGGAAUUGCAUUGGAGACUGCAAGGCUAGAAUCUGGCAGAGGGGGGUAGAAUUCCACGUGUAGCAGUGAAAUGCGUAGAUAUGUGGAGGAACACCGAUGGCGAAGGCAGCCCCCUGGGUCAAGAUUGACGCUCAUGCACGAAAGCGUGGGGAGCAAACAGGAUUAGAAACCCGAGUAGUCCCAUGAU